AAUCAGGGGCUGUCUAUAUAAACAAGGCAGUUCGGCUGCUGGAGGCCUAGGCAACAACAUCACCUGGUUGGAGGGCUGCAGAUUUACAUCUGGAGGGACAGUGAUGCUAGUUCCUGGUGACGACUGAAAGCACAGCACUUCAAACCUGGACUUCUACAGACCCUCCCAGGCAGAGCCCCUACAGGAGGGUGAUCCAGGCAGACCUUGACAGGCUCAGAAAAUGGGCGGACGAAAACCUGAUGGUGUUCAACACAGAAAAAUGCAAGAGAAAAAUGAGAAAUCGCUUCCAGCCACUUCUGUGGAUUCCUGCCAUCCAAGCCCAUACUGAAGCACUAAAAACUUCAUGAACACAGAUGACAAAUUUCCAGACAGCUGGAUGUCACAGAUGUGCUGGGCCACCCUAGUGUAAAAGAUGCAACUGUGUUGAAGAGCAUGUGAGCUGCAGAGCUACUUAUGCCAGAGCAGAAUUUGCCCUAUAUUAAUAAAUGGUCUUGCACUGUGGAACAAGGCCUAAAGGAAAGCAGCUUGCCUCCUACACAUGUGAGGUUCAAGAUUCCAAUCAAUUUUAUAUUUGUUGCAGAAAGAGCUAUCAAAUUCCUCUCCAGACAAUUUAAUUAAUUAGAAAAUAACUGAUUUGUAAGGUGCUGAGUGGCAGAGUGGCCUUUAUAAAGACAUGAACUGGAGAAAAAGUACAACCACCCAUGCUGUCUAUCUAUAUGUAUGGGUUAAAGCAGUGGCUCCCAACCUUUUUUUGCUGUGACCCUAAAUCUGGGUCACAAUCCCUGCCCCUGGCCCCGCUGCAGACUCACUCAUGCCCAGUGGCGCCAGCAGAGCCCAGGCCAGGCUCAUGGGGGGCAGCAGCGGUGAGAGCCGUGUGGACCGUGUGCCAGGAGAGCCCUGCAGAGGGGAGGGGCAGAGUGAGGGUCGGACCUCCUGCGACCCUGAUUUGGGUCGCAACCUGAGGUUGGGAGCCACUGGGUUAAAGACUUAUGAGUCUAUGGUGUGUAAAGGGCUCAGUAUGAGAAACUGGCCCUGAAACGUCUAAUUGCAAACCAGUUAUGAAAACCUACACAUGACAAAAGUAAGGGCAAAGUUUUUAACAAUUUGGAGCAAUUUGUUCUGUGUUUGUUAAGGGCCUAGCUCAGCAGGUUACACCAAUAACUGGGACUUCUAGGAUGACAUCAUAUUCUACUAAAACAAAAUUUCUAAGGUCUCAGUCCUCUUCAGUAAUCUUACACACCUUAUAUGCAUGUUUGUGUUUCUUUUUCCUUUAGAUACAAUAAUUAAAUUCUUCCCCCACCACAUGAAACUCUUUGGCCAUGUCAACUUAAGCAGGGGCAUGCAUUUGUAGCAGCACAAAUAGCAGCAGCACAAAUUUGUGCUGAUACUUUGUGUCACACUGCACACCCCUGCCAGUGCACAAUGUGUCCCCCUGCUCCAUAUGGUGAAGUGGGGACUGGCUGUAUCUCAGUGUGGGGUUAGUCAGCUGGCAUCCCCUGCACUGAGGCACACUGUGCCCCAGCCAACCCGGAACGGCAUAUGGUAAUGGGGGCAGGCAGGUGCUGCCUGCUGUCCCAUCUCCAUGUGCUGCAGAACCCCAACGUUGAGGCACCCUGCACCCCAGCAGACAGGGUUUGUUAAAAACUUUGCCCUUAAAAGUUUUUAACAAACUUUUAAGUUAAAAAAAAGUGUGCCUUGAGAUGGGGGAGCAGACAGCUCUGGGCUGCCCGCUUCCCUGUCUCCAUAUUUGUCCCAACAGAUGCCACUUUGGCAUGCUUUGCACCACGUUUUUCUUUAGGGUUUUUUUUUUUUUUUUUUUUUUUUUUUGCUACCGGGAAAUCUCAGUAGCAAAUUUUGCCCCAGCACUGCAAAUUAGGAGCACCACACAUGGUUUAACAUGCAACACGUGUGGUUUGUGGCUCUGCAAAGAGUUUUAUGGUGCCACAAACUACACGUGCCUGCCCAUCUGGACCUGGCCUUUGAUCUUAUCAUGUUUCUUAUGUCAUUUUAUUUUUAAAAUGGAUAGUACUGGGAAAAGGGGAAUAUAAUGUCAUUGUCCUACUGACAUAAGCCCUAUUAUGUUGCAUAUAAUCUGUAGGUAUCUAUUAUAAUUAACUGCCAAGUACAUUGGAUGUGUAUGUUUCUUUGGUUUCAAUGGAAUGCUAGUGGAUGAGGUAUGUGGGGCAAAAGAAAAUCAGCGAUGUCUGGAUAAAGAUGUAUUUUGCUCACUAUGGCCCAUACAAUUAAACAAAAAUGCCAGUUUGUUCACCUCCAACAGGUAUUUUUACAUUUUGUCUACCCCACACAGUACAGCUCCUAGAAAUACUUUGGUUCAUUAAUUGUUUCGAUAUCUUCUUGUUGUUUGACUAUACUUAAACAUUGAAAAUACAAUCUAUCAUUGUUUCACUAUCUGGGGUUUGGCAAAACUAUUUUUAAAGCGUUCUGCUUUUUAGAC